rnacentral:rRNA from 1 species
UGAGGAAUAUUGGUCAAUGGGCGAGAGCCUGAACCAGCCAAGUCGCGUGAGGGGAGACGGUCCUAUGGAUUGUAAACCUCUUUUGCCGGGGAGCAAAGAGCGGCACGUGUGCCGCGCCGAGAGUACCCGGAGAAAAAGCAUCGGCUAACUCCGUGCC